rnacentral:rRNA from 1 species
UACAGAGGGUGCGAGCGUUAAUCGGAAUUACUGGGCGUAAAGCGUGCGUAGACGGUUAUUUAAGUCGGGUGUGAAAGCCCCGGGCUCAACCUGGGAAUUGCAUUCGAGACUGAAUAGCUAGGGUACGGUAGAGGGAAGUGGAAUUUCCGGUGUAGCGGUGAAAUGCGUAGAUAUCGGAAGGAACAUCAGUGGCGAAAGCGACUUUCUGGUCCUUAACUGACGCUGAGGCGCGAAAGCAUGGGGGAGCGAACGGGG